rnacentral:misc_RNA from 1 species
GUGAGUCAUCGAAUCUUUGAACGCACCUUGCGCCCUUUGGUAUUCCGAAGGGCAUGCCUGUUUGAGUGUCAUGAAACCUCACCCCACUUGGGUUUUUGCCUGAGCGGUUGGUGGAUUGGGCGUUGCCGUCAAUGGCUCGCCUUAAAAGUAUAAGCGCCUUGGAUGUAAUACGUUUCAUCCUUAUGGGUGGCUGAUAACCCCACAUAUCUCAUGAUCUGGCCUCAAAUCAGGUAGGGCUACCCGCUGAACUUAAGCAUAUCAAUAAGCGGAGGA